rnacentral:rRNA from 1 species
AGUGAACGCUGGCGGUAGGCCUAACACAUGCAAGUCGAACGGCAGCACAGUAAGGGCUUGCUCUUACGGGUGGCGAGUGGCGGACGGGUGAGGAAUACAUCGGAAUCUACUUUUUCGUGGGGGAUAACGUAGGGAAACUUACGCUAAUACCGCAUACGACCUACGGGUGAAAGCAGGGGAUCUUCGGACCUUGCGCGAUUGAAUGAGCCGAUGUCGGAUUAGCUAGUUGGCGGGGUAAAGGCCCACCAAGGCGACGAUCCGUAGCUGGUCUGAGAGGAUGAUCAGCCACACUGGAACUGAGACACGGUCCAGACUCCUACGGGAGGCAGCAGUGGGGAAUAUUGGACAAUGGGCGCAAGCCUGAUCCAGCCAUACCGCGUGGGUGAAGAAGGCCUUCGGGUUGUAAAGCCCUUUUGUUGGGAAAGAAAAGCAGCAGGUUGAUACCCCGCUGUUCUGACGGUACCCAAAGAAUAAGCACCGGCUAACUUCGUG